AGCUCUGUGAUCGAUUAGAUAUGUCUGCUAAGAGUACGAGAGGGAGGGUGGCAGCAUGGGGUCAGAUAACCUCAGCUUUUAAUACAAAGCCUGGAGUUUUAUCUCUUAAUCCUUUCUCUGGGUCACCUACUGUUACACUUCCUGUGGGAUAAUGGAAAAGGCAUGCUUUGCUGUUAUUAUUGGUGUACGUGUUCCUUAAUGAUUUAAAAAAUCCCUGGCAUUUGGAAAUGUUACCGUUCAGAAUACAGUCAGCUUCCUGGUCCCACGGAGUCUCAGUGACUGUCAGACGAGGAAACUCCCUUUCAGCAUUGCCUUGAAGAAGAGAGAUAAGAUACUUGAAAUACUUUAUGUGAUACUUCAUGAUUGCUCAAGAAAUGGACAUGAUGGGGAUUAUUGAUGAAGAUCUUGCAAAUCCAAGAAAUGACAAUUCUCAGAUGCAGCCCUGCAGGGGAGUGGUAGAGGCAUUGGAGGAAGAGAGAAGAGAAGAAGCCAUCAGUGAGAUGGGUGGGGAAAUCCAGAGAGUGUUGGAAGACAAGUUAAGAAAGAACAUCAAAGAGGAAGGAGUAAUUAAGUAUCAUCCAUUGCUGUUAGGUCAAGGUGUCCCAUCACUGGGUUUACAAGCAUGCAGGAGUUGGCAUGGGAGGAAGGUUCACAAGACUCAAGGCAUGGAGUUGAACUGGCUUUAUGUACACAGCCCUCUGUGCGCCCUGGCUCUGGGAUCUGACGGGCUUGAAUCGUGGCCGCACCCCUCAACAGAUGGGUGGCCUCAAGGACGUCCUUGACCCCUGUUCACUUGGGGUUUCUCAUCUAGCAGGAGGGGGUUACAUGACAAAUGUCCUGUGCCCAUCUGGAGCCUGACCCACGGCGGCUGCAAGAUGCCACUGCCACCACCCCUCCCAUCCCGCCCUCCCCUGCCCCGACAGUGACCCUGCGGUCAGAAGAAUCUGGACUGGACAGUUUUUCCAUCCUUGCAACUCCGUAAACUAGAGAUCAUGUAAUAAUAGAUUUAAACUAGCCAUUAAAGAUCAGACCUUCCUUUUUUUCUCCUCUUGAACAAGGAAGGAAAGAUGAUGUGAAUUCAG
rnacentral:lncRNA from 1 species